rnacentral:rRNA from 1 species
AUAACGUCGCAAGACCAAAGAGGGGGACCUUCGGGCCUCUUGCCAUCAGAUGUGCCCAGAUGGGAUUAGCUUGUUGGUGAGGUAACGGCUCACCAAGGCGACGAUCCCUAGCUGGUCUGAGAGGAUGACCAGCCACACUGGAACUGAGACACGGUCCAGACUCCUACGGGAGGCAGCAGUGGGGAAUAUUGCACAAUGGGCGCAAGCCUGAUGCAGCCAUGCCGCGUGUAUGAAGAAGGCCUUCGGGUUGUAAAGUACUUUCAGCGGGGAGGAAGGUGUUGUGGUUAAUAACCGCAGCAAUUGACGUUACCCGCAGAAGAAGCACCGGCUAACUCCGUGCCAGCAGCCGCGGUAAUACGGAGGGUGCAAGCGUUAAUCGGAAUUACUGGGCGUAAAGCGCACGCAGGCGGUCUGUCAAGUCGGAUGUGAAAUCCCCGGGCUCAACCUGGGAACUGCAUUCGAAACUGGCAGGCUUGAGUC